GACCGAUAGUGAACCAGUACCGUGAGGGAAAGGCGAAAAGAACCCCGGCGAGGGGAGUGAAAAAGAACCUGAAACCGUGUACGUACAAGCAGUGGGAGCCCCACCACUAAGCCAGUGGUGAACUCCACAUCCGCAUCCUUUGCUGAGGAUACGGUUAACGGAGCGAAAGCGACGUUCAACCGCAAAACAAGCAGAGGGGGCUUAGUGGUGGGGUGACUGCGUACCUUUUGUAUAAUGGGUCAGCGACUUAUAUUCUGUAGCAAGGUUAACCGAAUAGGGGAGCCGGAGGGAAACCGAGUCUUAAUUGGGCGUUAAGUUGCAGGGUAUAGACCCGAAACCCGGUGAUCUAGCCAUGGGCAGGUUGAAGGUUGG
rnacentral:rRNA from 2 species